CGACACUUUCCACGGUCGGAGCUGAUCCGGAUCACAUACACAGGAGUCACUCAUUGAAGAUGAAUCACAUGGUUAGGCUGGACAGGGAUCUUCGAAUAAUUGAGAGACACCAUGGUGUAAAACGAAGGUGGCUCCUUC